AUGCAGUAGGGAUCUUGUUAAAAUGCAAAUCCUGACCCCAUAGGCCCGGUGUGGGGCCCGAGAUUCUGCAUUUUUCACAUGCUCCCAGUUGAGACUGAU
rnacentral:pre_miRNA from 1 species